UACGUAGGGUGCAAGCGUUGUUCGGAAUUACUGGGCGUAAAGGGAGUGUAGGCGGGAUCAUAAGUUAGAAGUUUAAUCUACUGGCUCAACCAGUAGUCGGCUUUUAAUACUGUGGUUCUUGAGUAUGGGAGAGGGUGAUGGAAUUCCAGGUGUAGCGGUGGAAUGCGUAGAUAUCUGGAAGAACACCAGUAGCGAAGGCGGUCGCCUGGCCCAAUACUGACACUGAGGCUCGAAAGCUAGGGGAGCAAACAGG
rnacentral:rRNA from 1 species